AUUGAACGCUGGCGGCAUGCCUUACACAUGCAAGUCGAACGGUAACAGGUCUUCGGAUGCUGACGAGUGGCGAACGGGUGAGUAAUGCAUCGGAACGUGCCCAGUCGUGGGGGAUAACGCAGCGAAAGCUGUGCUAAUACCGCAUACGAUCUGCGGAUGAAAGCGGGGGACCUUCGGGCCUCGCGCGAUUGGAGCGGCCGAUGUCAGAUUAGGUAGUGGGUGGGGUAAAGGCUCACCAAGCCAACGAUCUGUAGCUGGUCUGAGAGGACGACCAGCCACACUGGGACUGAGACACGGCCCAGACUCCUACGGGAGGCAGCAGUGAGGAAUAUUGGACAAUGGGCGCAAGCCUGAUCCAGCCAUGCCGCGUGCAGGAAGAAGCAUCUAUGGUGUGUAAACUGCUUUUGUACGGGAAGAAACACCCCUUCGUGAAGGGACUUGACGGUACCGUAAGAAUAAGGAUCGGCUAACUCCGUGCCAGCCGCCGCAGUAAAAC
rnacentral:rRNA from 1 species